GCCUUUGUAGUAUAGUGGUAGUAUAAAGGACUGUGGAUCCUUAGGCAGGGGUCCGAUUCCCCUCAAAGGCC
rnacentral:tRNA from 1 species